CACGUAGGGCGCAAGCGUUGUCCGGAAUUAUUGGGCGUAAAGAGCUCGUAGGCGGUCUGUUGCGUCCGCUGUGAAAACUCGGGGCUUAACCCCGAGCCUGCAGUGGAUACGGGCAGACUAGAGGUAGGUAGGGGAGAAUGGAAAUUCCCGGUGUAGCGGUGAAAUGCGCAGAUAUCGGGAGGAACACCGGUGGCGAAGGCGGUUCUCUGGGCCUUACCUGACGCUG
rnacentral:rRNA from 1 species